ensembl:snoRNA
CCUGCCCUUAGAGGUAUUGCAAGUAUGGCUGCUGUGUUACAUAUGCUUCAGUAGGUGGCAGAGAGGAGAAAAGCUAUAUCUAUGCUUAGUGUUCUGAGCUUUGAGUAUUUUAAUUAAUAGUAGCCUAACAUU